rnacentral:lncRNA from 1 species
UUUAAUGAUAGUAAUAAUGUUAUACAAUUCAGUUUGAUUAAUAGUUUGGCAAUUAAGUGGCCUCUAAUAAUUUACCUAUUUGAAAUAGGAUUAGGACCACUGGGAACUUCAUGUGCACUGGCAUUGAAGAUCCUUUCCUGCCAUGGAAACCAGCCGCCGGCUCUUCUUGGAGAAUUAUUACCAGAUAUUGCAUUGACUUGUUUUGCAGAAGAGUGUCGUGUGCUACUCAUAACUUUGAGAUUUGUCGUAAUGGUGAGAUGUGAGAUAGUAAGAGUAGUGAAGUGAGGCAUGAGUAUGAUGAGGAGGGAGAAGAAGGUGAUAUAGCAGGAUCUGACAUCACCAGCCAUGAAAAUAAAUCUUGUAUAUAUAUAGAUAUAAUGCAUCUUAAAGAUGCAUGGGUUGGAUGGUGAGGCGUAGAAGGAAUAGAGAGGUUGAGGGAUUUAAACAAGUGGGUUUUAUUUUUAAACAUCCAAAUGAAAGAAAGAGAAAAAGAGAGGCAGUGCUAAAAGAUGAAAAGAAAAG